rnacentral:rRNA from 1 species
UACGUAGGAUCCAAGCGUUAUCCGGAUUUAUUGGGUUUAAAGGGUGCGUAGGCGGCCUAUUAAGUCAGGGGUGAAAGACGGUAGCUUAACUAUCGCAGUGCCCUUGAUACUGAUGGGCUUGAAUGUACUUGAGGUAGGCGGAAUGUGACAAGUAGCGGUGAAAUGCAUAGAUAUGUCACAGAACACCAAUUGCGAAGGCAGCUUACUAAAGUAUGAUUGACGCUGAGGCACGAAAGCGUGGGGAUCAAACAGG